rnacentral:tRNA from 1 species
CAUAAUCUUAAGGUCGUGAGUUCGAUACUCACCGUUCCCA